rnacentral:rRNA from 1 species
CCUACGGGGGGCUGCAGUCGAGAAUCAUUCACAAUGGGGGAAACCCUGAUGGGGCGACGCCGCGUGGGGGAAUGAAGGUCUGCGGAUUGUAAACCCCUGUCAUGUGGGAGCAAAUUAAAAAGAUAGUACCACAAGAGGAAGAGACGGCUAACUCUGUGCCAGCAGCCGCGGUAAUACAGAGGUCUCAAGCGUUGUUCGGAAUCACUGGGCGUAAAGCGUGCGUAGACUGUUUCGUAAGUCGUGUGUGAAAGGCGCGGGCUCAACCCGCGGACGGCACAUGAUACUGCGAGACUAGAGUAAUGGAGGGGGAACCGGAAUUCUCGGUGUAGCAGUGAAAUGCGUAGAUAUCGAGAGGAACACUCGUGGCGAAGGCGGGUUCCUGGACAUUAACUGACGCUGAGGCACGAAGGCCAGGGGAGCGAAAAGGAUUAGAUACCCUGGUAGUC